CCAGCACCCGCGGUAAUUCCAGCUCCAGUAGCGUAUAUUAAAGUUGUUGCAGUUAAAAAGCUCGUAGUUGGAUUUCUGGUAUGCUGCGCCUAACCCGCUCGCGUUAGCGUGUGAGUGUUGGUGCGCGGUUGCCAUCCUUCUAGAGAACGUGUCUACCCUUCACUGGGCCGGAUACGGGAUCUAGAUCUUUUACUUUGAAAAAAUUAGAGUGUUUAAAGCAGGCUUUUGCUAUGAAUACAUUAGCAUGGAAUAAUAAUAUAGGACUUUGGUUCUAUUUUGUUGGUUUCUAGGACUAAAGUAAUGAUUGAUAGGGAUAGUUGGGGGUGCUAGUAUUCAGCGGCCAGAGGUGAAAUUCUUGGAUUCGCUGAAGACUAACUUAUGCGAAAGCAUUCACCAAGGAUGUCUUCUUUAAUCAAGAACGAAAGU
rnacentral:rRNA from 1 species